AUUGAACGCUGGCGGCAUGCCUUACACAUGCAAGUCGAACGGCAGCACGGACUUCGGUCUGGUGGCGAGUGGCGAACGGGUGAGUAAUGCAUCGGAACGUGCCAUUGAGUGGGGGAUAACGUAGCGAAAGUUGCGCUAAUACCGCAUAUUCUGUGAGCAGGAAAGCAGGGGACCGCAAGGCCUUGCGCUCUUUGAGCGGCCGAUGUCAGAUUAGCUAGUUGGUGAGGUAAGGCUUACCAAGGCGACGAUCUGUAGCGGGUCUGAGAGGAUGAUCCGCCACACUGGAACUGAGACACGGUCCAGACUCCUACGGGAGGCAGCAGUGGGGAAUUUUGGACAAUGGGGCAACCCUGAUCCAGCCAUACCGCGUGAGUGAAGAAGGCCUCGGUUGUAAG
rnacentral:rRNA from 1 species